AAUAUAUUCCAUUUGCAGUGGACAAACAGAACAACACAACACAUAAGCAGAGGAAAGACAUGGUUGCUCUUGCUUCAUCUAAAUAGGCCGUCUGGAAUGCCAUGAGACCAGGUUGUACUAUCAUUUUGAAUUUGUUUACUAACACCACAACUACCACAUCCUCGCUAAACGACAGAGGUUGCUAGCAACUGCACAUGGAAAGAUUGAAUGUGAUAUUCUGUCUACUAAUCAAUAGUGUAUUACUAAAACUACAUAUUGAUGACUUUUUAAACAACAUAUAGUAUUGUCCCCAGUUCUGCUUGAUUUGAUUUGUAUUUCCCAUCAGUUUUGUGUUUUGUCAGAGAAUGGUUUUUCUUUACCUACGGUAGUCCCUGUACUCAGGUAAAUCCUUUUGCAUCAUUUCACUAUUGGUUCUGUCGUAAUUGUAUUAGAUUGGGAUUGCAACAUGUGGGCUCCAACAAACAUAAUUUCAAAAUUGCACGUUAUUUGUAUGACAUAAAACUAAAUGAGAUAUCACUCAACUCACAUGAACUUUGGAUAACAUUGUAGUUAAACAUUGAUUACUUGCAAUGCAUUAGCAACCCCAAAAUGUUAGAACUGAAUCUUGAACGCUUGUAACAAAAUUUUACCAUCCUCAAGAAUUUAAAGAGAAAGAAAGGUUUGCACUUACAUUCCUGUUAGUCCACUGCCAAUUCAUAGUAUUGUUAGGAUUUCUGGGAUCCUACAUUUUGACUAUUUAGCUGAUCCCAAGUUAUUUAUAUAGUUUUAUCCCAUUACAUCAGAUCUUUUUGGUUGCAUGUAUUAAUUUACUGAUUGUGUACUGGAAGCAAUUUACUGACUUGUGUAGUAUUUAGCUGAUCCAAGGUUAGGCUUUUAAGUUUUCUCUCAUUACACCAUUGCAUUUUAGAAUUUUGUAGCUAAAAGUUUCUAUUAAAUUGGUGCCCGUAUUAGAGGGAGGCAUCGGUUAACUAAGCAUAUCGUCGCAUGUAUAGAGACCUCCAGCCCAGCAUGUCAAGGUUGCUCUGUGCGGGCUCGAUUAGAGGGGGCAUGGACUUUAUUAAGAACGAGUGAGUGCCGUCCUGUAUCAAGUGCAUGUCAUGGGUUUGAUAAUAUCUUAAAGAAUCAAUUUGUACUACAUUAUUCGCUGGAGGUAGCAUCACGAUGACACAUAAUUAAGGACUCGUGAUUGGGAGUGUCUAAAAAUUUAUCAACUAUUCUGAUGUUCCAUAAAUCGUUAGUUUACCGAAAAAGGAAGGAGCUACCAUCGCGGUAUGAUUGCGUUCAUCUUGGACUAAUCAUGAUCAAUUUGAUGAGGCCUCCAUCAGUUUCGUAUAGGUUGUGCUAAGGAUUCAACAAAUUAUGAGAAACCUGACGUCGAAAGAUAGUGAUAGACCAUCGGAUGAAGUUUACUAUAUGUUUUUGUCUUUACCAUGUUUUUUCUUAUACCAUGUUGAUUUUCAAAUAAAGUGCAAGUUCUGAAUGAAAGAGUAGACAUUUUCUUAUUUAUGUAAAAUUUUGCAACAAAUUUUUUUGCCUUACCAAUCAUGCGGUGUGGGUGGUCACCGGCGCUGGAGCUGAGGUGAGGCGAAUUCAAAACUUCACCCAAAUGUCCGGAUUUCUCAUAUUUCCGGCUUGGAAUGCCCAGAAUUCUUGUUUCCUUGGCUUAUACUUUGGGUCUUGCACCUUUUCUUUAUAGGUUCUGCGAAUUCUUUUGUUUAGGGAUCCGAUGGAGAGCUCGGAUAUGGCAUCGCAGCCGUUGAGCGACAGGGUCACGCCGAAGCUCCUCCUCGGCUGCACGGAUUGCGUCACUGUCAUGCCGGGCGAGCCGCAGACUGGAUCCGGAAAGACAUAUACAACGGGUACCAAUUAUACUGGUGAAGCUGAUCGUGGAGGAAUAAUUGCACCUCUCAUGGAGACGAUAUUCAGGAAAUCUGAUGCGAUGAACCGUCAUACAGAGUUCUUAAUUAGGGUAUCCUUCAUCGAGAUAUUCAAGGAGGAAGUAUUUGAUUUACUUGAUGAUCAUGGGUCUGUUGCAAAAGUGGCAGCGCCUGCUAGAGUGCCUAUUCAGAUUCGACAAAACUGCAAAUGGAAGCAUUACACUUGCUGGCGUGAUGGAGGCUAAGGUCAAGUCAAAAGAAGAUAUGGGCCAUAUGGCCAUGCACUUGGCACGAGGAUCUUCGUCACGCGCAACUGAAAGUACAAACAUACAUAGCCAGGCAAGGGUGAUUGAGGAGUAAAUGCAAAGGUACAAAGAGUAACUGAUAAGUGUGUUUGAACAAUGAUAGUUGUUCACAUUAGGCAUUUGCGUAGAGCUGCAAGAGUGGUGGACAUGCAACACAGGGAGGUGAAAGAAGGGAGGAUCAGGAAGGAUGGAGGGAGGUGACAAAGCUGGGAGAAAGGAGGGAGACACCAAGGAAGGUGGCAUGGGAAGAAAGUGAAGUUGUGGCCCAAGGCUAGAGUGUGAUCGUGUAAAAUUGUUACCUUUCCAUCAAUGCUCAGGUUCAUUGUCAUUUUUAAAGUCUGGCACUUGAAGAUCUACACAAUUGUUGUCGAGGAAGAUGAUAAACUCAAUGAGGAUGAUAAUUGGGGUUAUUGUGAAGCUCGAUGUUUGGUGGAGUACUCUCGCGGUAAAGAGGACAAGGCAUGCAAACAUGAGUAACCGAUAGGUUUGUGUAAUCACUUCCAUUUUUUCUAGGAACAUUGAAUAUAAUUGAUUUUGUAAAGAAAGCGGUAGAGAAGACUGUACUUUUGGACCUUCAGGUGAAGCGGGAAUUAUAUCAUUGUGAUAUCAAAUAAUUGUUCAUUGAUUGUUUGAAUGAGUUGUUGACA